rnacentral:rRNA from 1 species
GACGAACGCUGGCGGCGUGCCUAAUACAUGCAAGUCGAGCGGACGAAUCGAAAGCUUGCUUUUGAUUCGUUAGCGGCGGACGGGUGAGUAACACGUGGGCAACCUGCCCUGUAGACGGGGAUAACACCGAGAAAUCGGUGCUAAUACCGGAUAACACGAAAUGUCGCAUGACGUUUCGUUGAAAGACGGCGCAAGCUGCCGCUACAGGAUGGGCCCGCGGCGCAUUAGCUAGUUGGUGAGGUAACGGCUCACCAAGGCGACGAUACGUAGCCGACCUGAGAGGGUGAUCGGCCACACUGGAACUGAGACACGGCCCAGACUCCUACGGGAGGCAGCAGUAGGGAAUCUGCCGCAAUGGACGAAAGUCUGACGGAGCAACGCCGCGUGAGCGAAGAAGGCCUUCGGGUCGUAAAGCUCUGUUGUUAGGGAAGAACAAGUAACGCAGUAACUGGCGUUACCGUGACGGUACCUAACGAGAAAGCCACGGCUAACUACGUG